CUCCUUCCUGGGCUUGCUCACUUGGUUUCCCUUUACCCCUGCUUCCUGGGAUCUCCUCCCAAAGGAACGAGUCCUGUCUCAGGCUCUGCUUCUGGGGGAACCCAAGCUAAGAGAGAAGUGCUAUUAACAACUUGAGGAUCUGAAUGCCAUCUCUUACCUUUCAGAAUUGUCACUUACACCUAAACCAGAGAGGAGGAGAGUCCCAACACUGGCUUUGAAACGCCUCUGACCCACAGGAAAUGGCUGUUUUCAAGUGUCAGGAGGAAGCCCGGGGAGCUUGGCUUGGAAAGACUUACAGUGCAGAGGACAGCAGACACAGCGGAGUGUGGGAGGUAAUGCCUGAAGCUUAACUAGAGGGUUUCAGUGAAAGUUUGCAGCCUGCCUGCAAGGACCUCCCCCAGAGCCUUCCUCGGAGGCUGGCGGUCAAGCACGGACUCCCCAAGAGAAAGAAUGGAGAGGAUAAGUACCCCCAGACUGACAAGUUAACACGAAGGGCCGGCGCUGGCCCCCCAAGCACCUCUGCAGAGACCCGGGAUGCCAGGGAGGCCCAUUUACAAGCCAGCAAUUCAAAAGAGUACCCCAAGCACUCUGCCGUGGAUCAUAAUGUACAUAACGGCUCUUCACGUGGACGUGUUGCCAGCUAAACCUUCUUAUAAGAAUUCGGGAUGCGUUACAGAAACAUGGCUCUCCAAAACUACGCGUUCCUUUAAAAUUUCAUUCUGAGGAGUAGUCAUGAGGCCUGCUCUCCCCACGGCCAAGUCCACCACAUUAAAGCAAAUGAAAACCUAACUCAGAUGAUUCACAUAAAUUAGUCUUUCCAUAACCUUUUAUAUUAUCAAAGUGCUUUGCCCCUCUGGUGUUGGUCUGUGCAAACCAAGUGAUUCAGCCAGCCAAAACAUCAAGGAGAAAGAUCCCACCAGGCUUUGAUUG